rnacentral:rRNA from 1 species
CCUACGGGAGGCAGCAGUGGGGAAUAUUGCACAAUGGGGGGAACCCUGAUGCAGCGACGCCGCGUGGGUGAAGGAGCACCUCGGUGCGUAAAGCCCUAUCGGCAGGGAAGAAAGGCGGGCGGGGCCCGUCUGGACGGUACCUGACUAAGAAGCCCCGGCUAACUACGUGCCAGCAGCCGCGGUAAUACGUAGGGGGCAAGCGUUAUCCGGAUUCACUGGGUGUAAAGGGAGCGUAGACGGCGACGCAAGUCUGGAGUGAAAGCCCGGGGCCCAACCCCGGGACUGCUCUGGAAACUGCGGCGCCGGAGUACGGGAGGGGCAGGCGGAAUUCCUGGUGUAGCGGUGAAAUGCGUAGAUAUCAGGAGGAACACCGGCGGCGAAGGCGGCCUGCUGGACCGUGACUGACGUUGAGGCUCGAGAGCGUGGGGAGCAAACAGGAUUAGAUACCCUUGUAGUC